rnacentral:misc_RNA from 1 species
UGAAGAACGCAGCGAACUGCGAUAAGUAAUGUGAAUUGCAGAAUUCAGUGAAUCAUCGAGUCUUUGAACGCACAUUGCGCCCCCUGGCAUUCCGGGGGGCAUGCCUGUCCGAGCGUCAUUGCUGCCCUUCAAGCCCGGCUUGUGUGUUGGGUCGUCGUCCCCCCCGGGGGACGGGCCCGAAAGGCAGCGGCGGCACCGCGUCCGGUCCUCGAGCGUAUGGGGCUUUGUCACCCGCUCGAUUAGGGCCGGCCGGGCGCCAGCCGGCGUCUCCAACCUUCUAUUUUACCAGGUUGACCUCGGAUCAGGUAGGGAUACCCGCUGAACUUAAGCAUAUCAAUAAGCGGAGGA